GAUGAACGCUGGCGGCGUGCCUAAUACAUGCAAGUCGAGCGAACAGAUGGGGAGCUUGCUCCUCUGACGGUAGCGGCGGACGGGUGAGUAACACGUGGAUAACAUACCUAUAAGACUGGGAUAACUUCGGGAAACCGGAGCUAAUACCGGAUAAUAUAUUGAACCGCAUGGUUCAAUAGUGAAAGACGGUUUUGCUGUCACUUAUAGAUGGAUCCGCGCCGCAUUAGCUAGUUGGUAAGGUAACGGCUUACCAAGGCGACGAUGCGUAGCCGACCUGAGAGGGUGAUCGGCCACACUGGCACUGAGACACGGUCCAGACUCCUACGGUGGGCAGCAGUAGGGAAUCUUCCGCAAUGGGGGAAAGCCUGACGGAGCAACGCCGCGUGAGUGAUGAAGGUCUUCGGAUCGUAAAACUCUGUUAUUAGGGAAGAACAAAUGUGUAAGUGACUAUGCACGUCUUGACGGUACCUAAUCAGAAAGCCACGGCUAACUACGUG
rnacentral:rRNA from 1 species